AGCAGUAGCCGCGGUAAUACGUAGGGUGCGAGCGUUAAUCGGAAUUACUGGGCGUAAAGCGUGCGCAGGCGGUUAUAUAAGACAGAUGUGAAAUCCCCGGGCUCAACCUGGGACCUGCAUUUGUGACUGUAUAGCUAGAGUACGGUAGAGGGGGAUGGAAUUCCGCGUGUAACAGUGAAAUGCGUAGACAUGCGGAGGAACACCGAUGGCGAAGGCAAUCCCCUGGACCUGUACUGACGCUCAUGCACGAAAGCGUGGGGAGCAAACAGGAUUAGAUACCCGUGUAGUCCCUGUCUCUUAUAC
rnacentral:rRNA from 1 species